UUGAAGUAGAACAAACAGAAGAAAGUGUGAGAGAGAAGGCUGGACAGUCAAGCAAAGGGCAGAUCAAAAUGGAAGUUAUGAGCCUGAAAUUCAUUCUGAGGCGUAGAAAGCCUCUCUGAAAAUGUAUUACUAACACGAAUGAUAUGGUAAAGUUAGCAUUUUGGAAGUGUCAUUCUGGCUGCCAAGAGAUGUAAUUAAGAGCUAAGAGAUUAAAGGUGAGCCAGACUGGCAGCUACAGAGCUGUUAAAAGGAUCUAGGUAUCGGCCAGGCGCAGUGGCUCACCCCUGUAACCCCAGCACUUUGGGAGGCCGAGGUGGGUGGAUCAUCU